CCUACGGGCGGCAGCAGUAGGGAAUCUUCCACAAUGGACGAAAGUCUGAUGGAGCAACGCCGCGUGAGUGAAGAAGGGUUUCGGCUCGUAAAGCUCUGUUGGUAGUGAAGAAAGAUAGAGGUAGUAACUGGCCUUUAUUUGACGGUAAUUACUUAGAAAGUCACGGCUAACUACGUGCCAGCAGCCGCGGUAAUACGUAGGUGGCAAGCGUUGUCCGGAUUUAUUGGGCGUAAAGCGAGUGCAGGCGGUUCAAUAAGUCUGAUGUGAAAGCCUUCGGCUCAACCGGAGAAUUGCAUCAGAAACUGUUGAACUUGAGUGCAGAAGAGGAGAGUGGAACUCCAUGUGUAGCGGUGGAAUGCGUAGAUAUAUGGAAGAACACCAGUGGCGAAGGCGGUCUGCUGGACAGCAACUGACGCUGAGGCGCGAAAGCGUGGGGAGCAAACAGGAUUAGAGACCCUGGUAGUC
rnacentral:rRNA from 1 species